rnacentral:misc_RNA from 1 species
UCGUAAGAGAAGCGGGAAAUAUCGCACCUCUGGGUUCCCUCGCAGCCCUCUCGGACUUCAAAGCAUGCCCUCUGGGUCUUCCAUCUUCCUCUCUUAUCAUUUUUCAUUGCCAUAAAAGUACUGUGAUGAAACUAAUUAUGAUGUUUUAAAUAGUAAUUUACUUAAUUGUAUGAAAAUGAAUUAAUGGUAUCAUAGGCUGCAAUUUGGACUUGACUUCGUGAUGUCUGGAACUAAUUUCAGAUUCAAUUAUGGCUUAAUUGCUAAAAUUAUUAGUUUGGGGCCUACUUGCCUAUUUUGAACUGAGAGAUGUUCAGUACUGUAAUCAAAUCAAGCAUUUGGGUGUUGGCUAUUAAACUAGAUUUUGGACACAAGGAAUGACAUAAAAGGUGGGAACUUUGAAAAUCUAAAGUUAUGUUUGUAAUUGAAGUGUACAUAGAAGUUCUUGAUUCAGUUUAUCAGCAGAUUCAUGUAGAACUUGCAGGUGAUGGUGUUUCUAGAAAUGACAAAAUGCAUAACCAAUAUAUAAAAGCUAACGUUUGUUAGGAAAUAAUGCAAUUUAAUGUAAUCAAUCAUGUAGUGAGAUGAAUGAUAUAAUAUAAUAUAAUUGUCAUUUAAUUUCCAUAUUUGGCUGCAAAAUGAAAAUCAAGUAAUAUAAUGUAAUAAAAUGAUGUUUUUUUAUUUCAAUUCUUAAUUUAUUUGUGAUGGUAAUAAUAAAGAGUGACAACAACUAUGGUGAUUGGUGAUCAGGUAGUGGUGGUGGUGGUGGUGACGGUGAUAGUGGAUAUUUGGUGUGAAUCAUAGUGGUAAUAAUAGUGGUAGUGCUAGUCACCGGAUGGUGGCGGUGGCAGUAGUGGUAGUGGUCAAGUGUUGAUUGUUGGGUGGUAAUAGUGGUUGGUAGCAGUUGUGGUUUUUGUAGUAAUAGCUAUGGUGGCAAUGAUGGUGACAAUAAAAAUAAAUAAAUCCAAAUAAGUUACCAUUAUUACAUGAAUAUCUAUAUGUUAGUCAAAUUGUAAUUGAUUACAUGAUAUAAUUGUCAUUUCAUUAUAUUUAAUUCUUCUUGUAUAACCUAUUAGAUGUAUAAAAUUACUUUUAGAGCUUUUACCUACAAGUUGGAGCUUUUAGGUUAAGUUUUUUCUUGACAUUAUAUCAAAGCCUUUCAGACUAGAAAGUUUAGAUUUCAAAUCCUGACCACCCCCAUUUAUUAAUUAAGCAUACGGGGUGUGUUAGAAAUAUAAAACUAUUAUUGGAGCCCUCACUUACCAACUUAAACUUUUAAAUUGAGUAGUCUUUUGACAUAACCAAACAAAGUAAUGGAGCAUACCUUUGAUUAUGUUCUAUUAAAUAUAGCUAAAGGGAAACUUGUCUCUCUCCCAAGUCAGUUGCUUAUUUUAAUGGCAAGAAGCCCUUGAUAAUUCACUUGCCUGUUACUGUUAAAUAGGUAAUCAAAGAGAGUAUAAAGAGAAAUUUUGACAGUGCAAAUCAAGGAGUUGAUUUACAAUUAUUUUAUUUAACUCAGGGAUUAAUACAUGGAAAAGAUGGCAUGACACUGUCCUUUUUACAUGUCACCACAAUUAUCUUUCAGUGCAGGAGAUUUUCUAGUUGAUGCAAAAAGUGAUCCGCCUCCUGAACAUGCUCCAGUGAUCAGUUUAUGGGAAAGGCUUGGUAAAGCUGCUGUCUUGGACAUUGAGCCAAGUUCAUUUUCCUGGCAAAUGCUCUCUUCACUCCACCACACUGAGCAUAGUAGUAGCACUGAACAAUCCGAGGAUGAAAUAAAUAAAGCACUUGAGGUAACUGUAAAUUCUGGGGGAGUUGUCUUCUUUGCAUUAUUCAACCAGCCUGGAAACAAUGAUUCUUCUUCUAACGAAGCGGCAGCUGUUAUAAAAUUUUCAUCUUCAAGAAUGGCCACACAAUCUGAACGCCUUGGUUAUGAAUUUGCAAAGUGGUUAGGAGUCCAAACUCCACAGGCUAGAGUCAUUCAUAAUUGCAGCACAGAGUGGCUCCAGAUUAAGGAAGCUGCAGAAAAAGCAAGAAUGACGGCAACAUCAGAAGGAGAUGAAGUUGUUGAAGUUACAUGUUCAGAACUUCUGGAAGCUCUUGAUCUUAGCCGAUGUCUUCUUCUGAUGAGUUAUAUUCAUGGAUCUCCUUUAUUAGAAAGCUCAACUACAUUUGAGUCGCGUGAAAUUGCAGAAAAAACUGCGGCAGCGCUUGGUCGGGUCUUGAUGUUGGACCUUGUCAUCAGAAAUGAAGAUAGAUUGCCUUGCCGAGAGCUCAGAUGGCGUGGAAAUACAGCAAACUUAUUGUUGGCUGAUAAAAUGAUCUCUGCGAACAUGAACGCAUUGGAGGAUGUUUUUGAUUCUGCAAUUGACCGAUACAGACCAAGGAUGACUAGAGCUCUUCAGAAAGAAAGAAGGGCAACUUCAGUGGAUAGUAGAUUGAACUCUCAUGAACCAGGAAUUGUAUCACAGGGCUCUGAUCUCUCUGAAGUCACGGAAUCUCCAAAAUCUAGCAACAAUAGCCUAAAAAGUCAAACAUCAAAUGAAUCAAUAUUCUCUGAGCUCCACAAGUUUCACAUUGUGGCCAUUGAUUCUGGUGUUCCUCGCCGGCCCCCUGCUGGGAAACGUGCAAAUGAUCAGGCAAAUUACCCUAAAUUGGUUGAGUUACUUCUCAACAGUUCUGAUUACUCCUCUAAUUUGUUGUAUGAAAUAACAGGAGGGAAACUAGGGUUUUCUUUGCAAGACACAAACACAACAGAUAUACGAGUGACUGAAAUUACUUCAGUUGUUCAGGAAUUUCGUAGUGGAUUUCGGGUUGCUCUUAGGGAUCUUCAAAAUUUCCAUAUAUUCCUUCUAACACUUCACCAAAAACUGGAUAGCUUGUUACGUGCAUUCUUAAACAUUUCAAAUAAAACUUCUGGGGAUUUUGACAGAGAAGAUAUGGUGGUUCCUGAGUCACCUUUGCAUGUAGGAGUUCAUUGUCCUUCUCCACCAAAACCAAGUAAGGACCGGUUCGUUAACGAUAUCCAUCAAGAUUUUAGUGAUUCAGAAUUGCAGAAAACAGCACCAAGAUCAUCAUCUUCAGGAAAUAAGGAAAGCUCAGACAUUCGUUCUCCCAUGUCCAGAGAAAACUGGCAUGGAAAGUUCUCCAAGGGAAAUGGAGAGCCCCUUCAUAGCCUUCGUUUGACGACAAAGCUUCGUGACAUCCAUAAGUUCGCCAAGGUUGGUAUGUUACUACUUACUAGUGCUAUGGAGUUUGUCAUAUAAACCAUAUUCUUACCAUAAAUAGAUUUCCAAGUUUGGUAUGCUGCAUCUGAACACACAAUUGCUUGCUGACAAUGGUGGAAUGUGGUUUUCUGGAAUGAGAGAAAAAUGAUCCGGAAGUUGUAGCCUAUAUGUGGCAUGAUAUAGUGGCUGUUCAAUUUGAUGUUUGGUACGGGCAAAAUCCAGAAUUUGGCCCCCAAAUCUCAAAAUGGUUCAAUUUGAAACUUCUGACUUUGGCAGUCAAGUUCCAAGUACUUAAGAAUUGAUUGAUACUGAAUCAAAUAAAGAACUGGAGCAAUGGAAUGAAAUGCUGAGAAAUGAUGCUAUCAAACUCUGUCAAGAGAACAAUUUCAAUACAGGAUUUUUCGAGGGCAAUGAUAACAACUGUGUUGUUGAUGCUUAUGAGUUGAAGGUCAGACUAGAGCACAUCCUUGAGAGAAUAUCAUUGAUCUCUGAUGCUGCAAAUACAGAGAAACCAUCAUCAAUCACAAAUAGCUUGUUCAUUGGUGGGGCACUAGCUGCUAGAUCCAUUUAUACUUUACAACAUGUAGGAAUCACUCACAUAGUGUGUUUGUGUGCCAAUGAAAUUGGGCAGUCAGAUUCUCAGUACCCUGAUCUAUUUGAGUACAGAAAUUACUCUGUAAGUGAUUUAUUUUUCCUCCUAUAAUUUCGCUACGUCCAUCAUUUAGUUGACAAUGUCUGUGCUCUAUUUUUUGCAUGUAACUAACUCUGCAUCAUGGUUUCCUCUGAUAGUUUUUGUCGUCAGCAACAAUCUAUCAAAGAAAUCAAUAAGCACAAUAGUAAUUUCUGUAAUAAAAACAAAAUUAACAGUAAUAAUAACAAUAACUAAUAGUAGUGUCUUUUCUCUUUCUAAAUUUUGUAACCAUAAUAUCAUAUGCACUCUUCCCUCUUAGAAAUUGAUGCUUUAUGGAAAACCUAAUGUUUUGGUUCUUCUUUUACUCUGUUUAGUCCUUAUGUUCUUUCAGGAAAAUUGUGCAACUAUGAGCACCCAUUUUCAAUGGUGUUUAUGAUCAUAGAAAUUUUGAAGUCCUCAAUCCUUAGGUUCUAGCUUAUCUUUGGAAUUUGUUACUGAUGGUGGUACUUGCCUUACCUGAACAGAUAUGUGACAACGAAGAUGCAAAUAUCAGCAGUAUAUUUGAAGAAGUUUCCGAUUUUAUUGAUCAUGUUGAAUCAAUAGGCGGGAAGGUUCUAGUUCAUUGCUUUGAAGGGAAGAGUAGAAGUGCCACAUUAGUUCUUGCUUACUUAAUGCUUAGGAAGAACUUCACUUUAUUAGAAGCAUGGAAUGCCGUCAGACGAGUUCAUCGCCGAGCUCAGCCUAAUGAUGGGUUUGCAAGAAUUUUAUUGGAUCUUGACCGGAAAUUGCAUGGGAAGGUGUCAAUGGAGUGGCAACAGCGGAAGCCAACGAUGAAAGUUUGUCCCAUCUGUGGGAAGAAUGCUGGCCUAAGCAGCAGCUCACUCAAGCUUCAUUUGCAAAAAUCGCAUAAGAAGCUAUCAUCAGGAAGUGUGGAUAGUGCUAUGAGUAUGGAGAUACACAAAGUUCUGGAUGCUCUAAAAAUGACUAGAGGUGGAAGUGUCAGCCCAACACAGUCUACUUCAGUUAUGGACUAGAAUGGCAUUCCCUAGUGUAAUUAAUUCAUUGUCAGCGUACGAUGAGCUGCGCAGAAAGUGUAGAUACCCUUCAUUGGCAUCCUCAAACGGAUAAGAGAGUCCUAGCGGCGAUGUUGGAGCUGGGGGUGAGCUAGAUUGAAGUUGUACAUAAAAUGAGAUCAACAAGAUCAGACACCCUCUUGAUAUUUUAUAAACAUUCUCGGUCGUACAUUCAAUAGGUAGCACAUAUUACCGUCUGCUUUUUACCAUGAACUCUCAUACAUUAUCGCUCGUUAUCACAAAACAUGAAGUCAAGAAUUGUCGAAUGGUAGAUGUUCCAUCACACACAUCUAGGAAAAGGAUAGGUACCGUAUUUUGGUAUGGAAUGCUUCAUGACAGAAGCAAUGACUACAACAACCAAAAAAAAGGUGGAAUACUUCUUGAUAGAAGCAAGACUAAAACACAAUUUCCAAUUACAUGAAAGCAACCAAAAAAGAAAUGGGGGAAAAAAAAAACUAAAUCAUAACUCUAUCCAUGAAUAUAUUAUGAAAAGCUAACUCAAAUACCAGAAUUUCACUAUCUGGCACCUAACUAUUCAUGGUUAUAUGAGCAGUCUUCAAAUCCAGCCAGCAAUAAAAUAACGGCCCCAGUUUCACUUCCUGAGUAGUCAUUUCAACUAAACAGGCUACAACUACAUUUCCAAUUUUACGUUAAAAAACCAUGCAGUCAAUAAGUGGGCCAAGGUUGCCGAAUAGGGAGUCCUUGGCUUACACGAUGGACAAUGCAUCUUGCAACGACUCCGGAGACCCACUGCUACCAUUGAGCACAAUA